CCUACGGGAGGCAGCAGUGGGGAAUUUUGGACAAUGGGCGCAAGCCUGAUCCAGCAAUGCCGCGUGCAGGAAGAAGGCCUUCGGGUUGUAAACUGCUUUUGUACGGAARGAAACGGUCUGGGUUAAUACCUCGGGCUAAUGACGGUACCGUAAGAAUAAGCACCG
rnacentral:rRNA from 1 species